rnacentral:rRNA from 1 species
CCUACGGGAGGCAGCAGUGGGGAAUUUUGGACAAUGGGCGAAAGCCUGAUCCAGCAAUGCCGCGUGAGUGAAGAAGGCCUUCGGGUUGUAAAGCUCUUUUGUCAGGGAAGAAACGGUGAGAGCUAAUAUCUCUUGCUAAUGACGGUACCUGAAGAAUAAGCACCGGCUAACUACGUGCCAGCAGCCGCGGUAAUACGUAGGGUGCAAGCGUUAAUCGGAAUUACUGGGCGUAAAGCGUGCGCAGGCGGUUUUGUAAGUCUGAUGUGAAAUCCCCGGGCUCAACCUGGGAAUUGCAUUGGAGACUGCAAGGCUAGAAUCUGGCAGAGGGGGGUAGAAUUCCACGUGUAGCAGUGAAAUGCGUAGAUAUGUGGAGGAACACCGAUGGCGAAGGCAGCCCCCUGGGUCAAGAUUGACGCUCAUGCACGAAAGCGUGGGGAGCAAACAGGAUUAGAUACCCUGGUAGUCCACGCCCUAAACGAUGUCUACUAGUUGUCGGGUCUUAAUUGACUUGGUAACGCAGCUAACGCGUGAGUAGACCGCCUGGGGAGUUACGGUUGCAAGAUUAAAACUUCAAAGGAUUGACGGG